UCCCUUGACGGUAUCUAACCAGAAAGCCACGGCUAACUACGUGCCAGCAGCCGCGGUAAUACGUAGGUGGCAAGCGUUGUCCGGAUUUAUUGGGCGUAAAGCGAGCGCAGGCGGUUUCUUAAGUCUGAUGUGAAAGCCCCCGGCUCAACCGGGGAGGGUCAUUGGAAACUGGGAGACUUGAGUGCAGAAGAGGAGAGUGGAAUUCCAUGUGUAGCGGUGAAAUGCGUAGAUAUAUGGAGGAACACCAGUGGCGAAGGCGGCUCUCUGGUCUGUAACUGACGCUGAGGCUCGAAAGCGUGGGGAGCGAACAGGAUUAGAUACCCUGGUAGUCCACGCCGUAAACGAUGAGUGCUAAGUGUUGGAGGGUUUCCGCCCUUCAGUGCUGCAGCAAACGCAUUAAGCACU
rnacentral:rRNA from 1 species